GGAGAGAUGGCUCAGUGGUUAAGAGCACUGACUGCUCUUCCAGAGGCCCUGGGUUCAAUUCCCAGUAACCACA
rnacentral:tRNA from 1 species